rnacentral:misc_RNA from 1 species
GUGACAAUGUUUAUGAUUUCGGCGGACUUUCAGAAGAGGAGUUAAGGUCUGAUCCAGCGUACAUUUCGUAUUACUACUCGAAUGUGAAUCUGAACCCAAGGCUUCCGCCACCUCUUUUGUCUAAAGAAGACUGGCGGUACGCCCAGCGUCUGCAGGGUAGCGGUAAUGUUGGUAGUGGUGGUAAUUCACCAGUAUUAGGGGGGAUUGGUGAUAGAAGGAAAGGAAAUCGUGGUGAGGCCGAUAAGGGAAAGGAUGUUGAAUCACUUUUUUCAAUGCCGAUGGGAUUUGGUGCUAUAAAUGAAGAAAAUGGACGUGAGGCGCGGAAGGAGUGGGGCGGUGAUGGUCUCAUUGGAUUGCCUGGAUUAGGUUUAGGAAGCCGGCAGAUGAGCAUUACUGAGAUGAUUCAGGACCAUAUGAGCCAAACAACGUCAAGGCAUCCAUCACGUCCUGAUUCCCGUGCAUAUGAUGAUAUUGUUGAUCCUUCUGAGUCCCAAUUUGCUCAUCUCCAUCAAAAUCUGGCAUCUUUGGAUGCAUUACAUUCCAGGGAAAAAGUUCAAGGCAUGUCCCUCCAUAAUGUCAGCUCAUCAGGAUCUCAGUCUUAUGGUUCGGCCAUGGGUACAUCACUAUCACGAAGUACCAUCCCUGAGCCUCAGCUUGUGGCUAGAGAUCCUAGCCCUCGUAUUCCGUCUGCUGGAGGAGGGAGGAUAGCAUCACUAGAGGAUGUUUCAUCUCAUAUGGGUGAGCAUACUGAUUUGGCUGCUGCAUUGUCUGGCAUGAGUCUAUCAGGGAACAAUAUGGGAGAUGAAGGGAAACAUCAAAAGUAUCAAAUUCAUAAUGAGAUGGACGAUCAUCAGAACCUCUUCCGAUUGCAGAAUGUUCAGAAUCCUAUGAAGCAACAUCCAUAUGCAAAAAAGUCUGAAUCUGUUCAGUUUCACAAGUCUGUGGGUUCCUCUGCUGCAUACAUGAUUGGGCACUCUAUGCCAACUCUCAACAAU